ensembl:miRNA
UCCUGGGGGGCAGCUGUAGUGCAUUGUAGUUGCAUUGCAUGUUCUGGCAGUAUUUGUGCAAUGUUUCUGCAGUGCAGUACAGAGGCACUCUCCAUUCUGC